AACCCAGUGUGACUCGUCACACUAUCAUUAACUGAAUCCAUAGGUUAAUGAGGCGAACCGGGGGAACUGAAACAUCUAAGUACCCCGAGGAAAAGAAAUCAACCGAGAUUCCCCCAGUAGCGGCGAGCGAACGGGGAGGAGCCCAGAGCCUGAAUCAGCAUGUGUGUUAGUGGAAGCGUCUGGAAAGGCGCGCGAUACAGGGUGACAGCCCCGUACACAAAAGCGCAUGUGCUGUGAGCUCGAUGAGUAGGGCGGGACACGUGGUAUCCUGUCUGAAUAUGGGGGGACCAUCCUCCAAGGCUAAAUACUCCUGACUGACCGAUAGUGAACCAGUACCGUGAGGGAAAGGCGAAAAGAACCCCGGCGAGGGGAGUGAAAAAGAACCUGAAACCGUGUACGUACAAGCAGUGGGAGCACAGGUUUACCUGUGUGACUGCGUACCUUUUGUAUAAUGGGUCAGCGACUUAUAUUCUGUAGCAAGGUUAACCGUAUAGGGGAGCCGUAGGGAAACCGAGUCUUAACCGGGCGUUAAGUUGCAGGGUAUAGACCCGAAACCCGGUGAUCUAGCCAUGGGCAGGUUGAAGGUUGGGUAACACUAACUGGAGGACCGAACCGACUAAUGUUGAAAAAUUAGCGGAUGACCUGUGGCUGGGGGUGAAAGGCCAAUCAAACCGGGAGAUAGCUGGUUCUCCCCGAAAGCUAUUUAGGUAGCGCCUCGUGAAUUCAUCUCCGGGGGUAGAGCACUGUUUCGGCUAGGGGGCCAUCCCGGCUUACCAACCCGAUGCAAACUGCGAAUACCGGAGAAUGUUAUCACGGGAGACACACGGCGGGUGCUAACGUCCGUCGUGAAGAGGGAAACAACCCAGACCGCCAGCUAAGGUCCCAAAGUCAUGGUUAAGUGGGAAACGAUGUGGGAAGGCCCAGACAGCCAGGAUGUUGGCUUAGAAGCAGCCAUCAUUUAAAGAAAGCGUAAUAGCUCACUGGUCGAGUCGGCCUGCGCGGAAGAUGUAACGGGGCUAAACCAUGCACCGAAGCUGCGGCAGCGACGCUGAUGCGUUGUUGGGUAGGGGAGCGUUCUGUAAGCCUGUGAAGGUGGCCUGUGAGGGUUGCUGGAGGUAUCAGAAGUGCGAAUGCUGACAUAAGUAACGAUAAAGCGGGUGAAAAGCCCGCUCGCCGGAAGACCAAGGGUUCCUGUCCAACGUUAAUCGGGGCAGGGUGAGUCGACCCCUAAGGCGAGGCCGAAAGGCGUAGUCGAUGGGAAACGGGUUAAUAUUCCCGUACUUGGUGUUACUGCGAAGGGGGGACGGAGAAGGCUAUGUUGGCCGGGCGACGGUUGUCCCGGUUUAAGCGUGUAGGUGUGUGUUCCAGGUAAAUCCGGUUCACUUUAACACUGAGGCGUGAUGACGAGGCACUACGGUGCUGAAGCAACAAAUGCCCUGCUUCCAGGAAAAGCCUCUAAGCAUCAGGUAACAUCAAAUCGUACCCCAAACCGACACAGGUGGUCAGGUAGAGAAUACCAAGGCGCUUGAGAGAACUCGGGUGAAGGAACUAGGCAAAAUGGUGCCGUAACUUCGGGAGAAGGCACGCUGACACGUAGGUGAAGUGAUUUACUCAUGGAGCUGAAGUCAGUCGAAGAUACCAGCUGGCUGCAACUGUUUAUUAAAAACACAGCACUGUGCAAACACGAAAGUGGACGUAUACGGUGUGACGCCUGCCCGGUGCCGGAAGGUUAAUUGAUGGGGUCAGCGCAAGCGAAGCUCCUGAUCGAAGCCCCGGUAAACGGCGGCCGUAACUAUAACGGUCCUAAGGUAGCGAAAUUCCUUGUCGGGUAAGUUCCGACCUGCACGAAUGGCGUAAUGAUGGCCAGGCUGUCUCCACCCGAGACUCAGUGAAAUUGAACUCGCUGUGAAGAUGCAGUGUACCCGCGGCAAGACGGAAAGACCCCGUGAACCUUUACUAUAGCUUGACACUGAACAUUGAGCCUUGAUGUGUAGGAUAGGUGGGAGGCUUUGAAGCGUGGACGCCAGUCUGCAUGGAGCCGGCCUUGAAAUACCACCCUUUAAUGUUUGAUGUUCUAACGUGGACCCGUGAUCCGGGUUGCGGACAGUGUCUGGUGGGUAGUUUGACUGGGGCGGUCUCCUCCUAAAGAGUAACGGAGGAGCACGAAGGUUGGCUAAUCCUGGUCGGACAUCAGGAGGUUAGUGCAAUGGCAUAAGCCAGCUUGACUGCGAGCGUGACGGCGCGAGCAGGUGCGAAAGCAGGUCAUAGUGAUCCGGUGGUUCUGAAUGGAAGGGCCAUCGCUCAACGGAUAAAAGGUACUCCGGGGAUAACAGGCUGAUACCGCCCAAGAGUUCAUAUCGACGGCGGUGUUUGGCACCUCGAUGUCGGCUCAUCACAUCCUGGGGCUGAAGUAGGUCCCAAGGGUAUGGCUGUUCGCCAUUUAAAGUGGUACGCGAGCUGGGUUUAGAACGUCGUGAGACAGUUCGGUCCCUAUCUGCCGUGGGCGCUGGAGAACUGAGGGGGGCUGCUCCUAGUACGAGAGGACCGGAGUGGACGCAUCACUGGUGUUCGGGUUGUCAUGCCAAUGGCACUGCCCGGUAGCUAAAUGCGGAAGAGAUAAGUGCUGAAAGCAUCUAAGCACGAAACUUGCCCCGAGAUGAGUUCUCCCUGAGACUUAGAGUCUCCUGAAGGAACGUUGAAGACGACGACGUUGAUAGGCCGGGUGUGUAAGCGCAGCGAUGCGUUGAGCUAACCGGUACUAAUGAACCGUGAGGCUUAACCUUACAACGCCGAAG
rnacentral:rRNA from 1 species